AUUGAACGCUGGCGGCAUGCCUUACACAUGCAAGUCGAACGGCAGCACGGGUGCUUGCACCUGGUGGCGAGUGGCGAACGGGUGAGUAAUACAUCGGAACGUACCUUAUCGUGGGGGAUAACGCAGCGAAAGCUGUGCUAAUACCGCAUACGCCCUGAGGGGGAAAGCGGGGGAUCGAAAGACCUCGCGCGAUUAGAGCGGCCGAUGCCUGAUUAGCUAGUUGGUGGGGUAAAGGCCUACCAAGGCGAUGAUCGGUAGCUGGUCUGAGAGGACGACCAGCCACACUGGAACUGAGACACGGCCCAGACUCCUACGGGAGGCAGCAGUGGGGAAUUUUGGACAAUGGGGGCAACCCUGAUCCAGCAAUGCCGCGUGAGUGAUGAAGGCCUUAGGGUUGUAAAGCUCUUUUACCAGGGAUGAUAAUGACAGUACCUGGAGUAUAAGCUCCGGCUAACUCCGUG
rnacentral:rRNA from 1 species